rnacentral:rRNA from 1 species
CCUAGUACGAGAGGACCAGAGUGGACUUACCGCUGGUUUACCGUUUGUCUUGCCAAAGUCAUCGCUGGGUAGCUAUGUAGGGAAGGGAUAAGCGCUGAAAGCAUCUAAGUGCGAAGCCCCCCUCAAGAUGAGAUUUCCCAUGAUUUUAUAUCAGUAAGAGCCCUGAGAGAUGAUCAGGUAGAUAGGUUAGAAGUGGAAGUGUAGUGAUACAUGAAGCGGACUAAUACUAAUAGCUCGAGGACUUAUCCGAA